rnacentral:lncRNA from 1 species
CCCCACACUUGAGUCUUUGCUCGUCCUCGAGUAAAGGUUAAAAAUGAGUGAUCAAUGAUUUCUAACUUAAGAUAGUAGUGAGCAUAAAAUGCUAGUUCGAACAUAGUUCAUCCAAAUGGGUUUUUGUGUAAGUGUCUAGCAUAUAUCCUUCAGAGGUUGAGAAAAGGAACAACUCUCAGAACAAGAUCAAAUUCCAAUUUCAUAUUCUUGGUACUUAGAGUUUUUAUGACACUUUUUAAAAUAAGUCACAUAGUUCAAUCCUACUCCUCAUUUAGCGCUCUAGAUCACUCAAAGUUUUUUAGUAGUCCUCACCAAGGCAUGGAUGCCAACUUGUUUCAUCCUAUAAUUAUAGGCUUAUAUGGGGCUUGGUAGGGAUAAACAAGGUAGCAUACUCUACUUUGCAAAUAUUGUUAAGUCAAAAACAAGGAUCCAAAGAGAGGAGUGUCAUAGUCAUAGAUCAAGAUGUGCAAGUGUGUUAUAUGGUGGACUAGGUUGCUCCUUUAUUUACUACACUCUCUCUACUUGUAUAUUGAGACAUGGCUAGAUUUUCUUUUUCUUCGAGCUUUAUGUGCUCAAUUUUUUUUUCAUGGACUUGCACAUGUCCAUCUUUUCUUUUUCUUUUAUUUUGCCAAGCCCUUUUAUGUCUCAUUUUCUAAACAAUAUUUAGAGAGGUGUUCUAACACUUAGAGUAUGGAGCAACCUAUUUAGUGGAUGCACAAUACAUGUGGUUGCGUACUUCCAGUGUAGAAGCAGCAUAUAUAUAUGUGGUGUGUACGUGAUCUUGAUCUUGUGACUAUGAUACAACUCUCACUAGGGUCAACAAGGUUUUGACAAAACUCAUUACAAAAGCAGGUUGCAUUUCAUAAAAUGGUUACUUGAAUAUCUAAGUGUAUGGCUUUUAGUGGGAAUUUCUUGCUAAUGAGGAGUAAAUGAUACUAUGGUUUUGUGAUAUUUUUGAAACAAAUCUCUAAGUACCUUGAAUAGAAAUGUUAUGAAUUCUUAGCCAAGAGUUAUAUCACUUUCAUCAACAACUUAGUCAAUAUGGUUCCUAUAGAUUUUUACCCAUGAGGAUGAACAAUUGUAAGAACUAUACUUUAUGUCACUAUUUCUCUUGAAUCAUGUACCAGUUCACUUUUUAUUUUGCAAACAAGUUUAAACUAUCAAAUUUUAUUUUAAUUGUGACACAAAGGUAAAGAAUUGGACAGACUGAGAGGGGGAAGAAUUAGCAAACCGGGCAGGAAAGAUGUCUUUCGUCGUAUAGAAGCUGCCUGGUGGGCUCAGGGCUCCAUGGAAGGGUCGGCCGACCCCACCUGGAGGUUCCUGGCCCUGCCACUCGAUUCUACGUCCCUCGGGAAGUCUUUCUGCACUUGUGUCGUUUCCUUUUGCCAUAGAAAGGGGGUCGGGCGACCCCCUCAUCGCGCCUGUUUUUGGUGCCAUGACGUGCCGAGGUGUAUGCAGUGUUGUUCCAUGCUCACGGUAGUUCAGAGAUGAAGUUGGGGGGUCGGGCGACCCCCCCCACACUUGCAGUUUUCGUGCAGCUGAACUUACAACAGAGAGAGAUGAUCAAAUGCAGACGUCCUGCUGGUGGCAACACACCAGCAGGACCAAAAACAACUCUAUUAAAUCAAAUUUCAAUUGUAUAGGCACUUUUACAUUGUGAAAUUCAAAGUGACAAAUUGGAAAAUAAAAUUGAGUAAUCAAACCUAAAUAAUCAAAUAGUGCCUAUAACCUAAACUAACUAAUUUAUUUAGGGAGAUGGAGGUUUGAGGAGAUCCUCCCGCCCAAUUGCUU